AACCAUAUACAGAAAGAGAGAAAGUGUGUUCAAAGUGUUGAACAUAUAUAAAUGAAUAAAAUCAAAGUGUUGGGUCAGCACUUCUAAACCUGUUCGAUCCAUUAAUCGUUUGUUUCAAUUAGGGCUUCCCAAACCCUACGCCAGACAGAAUUCAAUCGCAGAUUCAAAAUCAGUAAACUCAAACCAAUCAAUCAGAAAAAUCGAAGGAACCGAUUCCUGACCGGAGCAUGGCGGAGCACCUGGCAUCGAUCUUCGGGACGGAGAAGGAUCGCGUCAACUGCCCUUUCUACUUCAAGAUCGGCGCGUGCCGGCACGGCGACCGGUGCUCGCGGCUGCACAACCGGCCAAGCAUCUCGCCAACACUGCUGCUGUCCAACAUGUACCAGCGUCCCGACAUGAUCACGCCCGGCGUGGAUCCGCAGGGGCAGCCGCUGGACCCGCACAAGAUCCAGCAGCACUUCGAGGACUUCUACGAGGACAUCUUCACGGAGCUCGCAAAGUUCGGCGAGAUCGAGAGCCUCAAUGUCUGCGACAAUCUCGCCGACCACAUGAUCGGCAACGUCUACGUCCAGUUCCGCGAGGAGGACCAGGCCGCCAAGGCCCUCCAAGCACUCCACGGACGGUUCUACAACGCCCGCCCCAUCAUCGCCGACUUCUCCCCUGUCACAGACUUCCGCGAGGCCACGUGUCGGCAGUUUGAGGAGAACAGCUGCAACCGCGGCGGAUAUUGCAACUUCAUGCACGUCAAGCUCAUCGGAAGGGACCUCCGCCGGAAGCUCUUCGGCCGCCAUCACCACCGCGGAGGUGGACGCUACCACCACACCAGCCGGAGCCGCAGUCGCAGCCGCAGCAGGAGUCCAAGGCACCGCCGGGAGGGACGGGAGAGGGACUCCCGCAGCGGCGGGAGGCGGGAGUAUAGAGAGAGAGACGGCGGUGGACGACGGAGACACGCCGAGAGUCCCGCCAGAGAAGGGAGCGAGGAACGACGCGCGAGGAUCGAGCAGUGGAAUCGGGAGAGGGAGGAGAAGGAGUGACUUUAUCGAUGAUGGUUUCCGAGAAUGGAACAUCAAUUUCGUUCUCAGAGCUAGGUGCAAUAGGGGGAUUGGUUGUGCAGCGGAUGUUCUUGAGAUGUAGGAAUUGCAUUUCAAAGACUAACGAAGUUGGGGUUUGAAUUGCCUCUUCACUAUAGGUAUAUAAAAGCAUGUUUCGGAGAAAUAUUUUUGAUGAAUCCAAGUGCUAAAUACUGUACAAAAAUGAGACAACUAAGAUGGGCAACUUCUGCUUUGUUA